rnacentral:rRNA from 1 species
UACGGGAGGCAGCAGUGGGGAAUAUUGCACAAUGGGCGAAAGCCUGAUGCAGCAACGCCGCGUGAGGGAUGACGGCCUUCGGGUUGUAAACCUCUUUUAGUAGGGAAGAAGCGAAAGUGACGGUACCUACAGAAAAAGCACCGGCUAACUACGUGCCAGCAGCCGCGGUAAUACGUAGGGUGCAAGCGUUGUCCGGAAUUAUUGGGCGUAAAGAGCUCGUAGGCGGUUUGUCGCGUCUGCUGUGAAAACCCGAGGCUCAACCUCGGGCCUGCAGUGGGUACGGGCAGACUAGAGUGCGGUAGGGGAGAAUGGAAUUCCUGGUGUAGCGGUGGAAUGCGCAGAUAUCAGGAGGAACACCAAUGGCGAAGGCAGUUCUCUGGGCCGUUACUGACGCUGAGGAGCGAAAGCGUGGGGAGCAAACAGGAUUAGAUACCCUGGUAGUCCACGCCGUAAACGUUGGGCGCUAGUUGUGGGGACCAUUCCACGGUUUCCGUGACGUAGCUAACGCAUUAAGCGCCCCGCCUGA